GCGGGCGGAGGCUACCAUGCAGUCGAACGGUAGCACAGAGAGCUUGCUCUCGGGUGACGAGUGGCGGACGGGUGAGUAAUGUCUGGGAAACUGCCUGAUGGAGGGGGAUAACUACUGGAAACGGUAGCUAAUACCGCAUAACGUCGCAAGACCAAAGAGGGGGACCUUCGGGCCUCUUGCCAUCAGAUGUGCCCAGAUGGGAUUAGCUAGUAGGUGGGGUAAUGGCUCACCUAGGCGACGAUCCCUAGCUGGUCUGAGAGGAUGACCAGCCACACUGGAACUGAGACACGGUCCAGACUCCUACGGGAGGCAGCAGUGGGGAAUAUUGCACAAUGGGCGCAAGCCUGAUGCAGCCAUGCCGCGUGUAUGAAGAAGGCCUUCGGGUUGUAAAGUACUUUCAGCGGGGAGGAAGGUGUUGUGGUUAAUAACCGCAGCAAUUGACGUUACCCGCAGAAGAAGCACCGGCUAACUCCGUGCCAGCAGCCGCGGUAAUACGGAGGGUGCAAGCGUUAAUCGGAAUUACUGGGCGUAAAGCGCACGCAGGCGGUCUGUCAAGUCGGAUGUGAAAUCCCCGGGCUCAACCUGGGAACUGCAUUCGAA
rnacentral:rRNA from 1 species